GACAGAGGGGGCAAGCGUUGCUCGGAAUCACUGGGCGUAAAGGGCGCGUAGGCGGGAUGGCAAGUCGGUCGUGAAAUCCUUCGGCUCAACCGAAGAACGUCGGCCGAUACUGCCGUUCUUGAGGGAUGCAGAGGAGAUUGGAAUUCCCGGUGUAGCGGUGAAAUGUGUAGAGAUCGGGAGGAACACCGGUGGCGAAGGCGGGUCUCUGGGCAUCUCCUGACGCUGAGACGCGAAAGCGUGGGUAGCAAACAGG
rnacentral:rRNA from 1 species